UAGUAACGGCGAGUGAAGCGGGAAGAGCUCAAGCUUAAAAUCUCCGUGCAAGUUUUGCGCGGCGAAUUGUAGUCUAUAGAGGCGUGGUCAGCGUGGGCGCUUGGGGCAAGUUCCUUGGAAGAGGACAGCAUGGAGGGUGAUACUCCCGUUCAUCCCUGAGUGGCUCGUGCGUACGACCCGUUUUCUUUGAGUCGCGUUGUUUGGGAAUGCAGCGCAAAGUAGGUGGUAAAUUCCAUCUAAAGCUAAAUAUUGGUGCGAGACCGAUAGCGAACAAGUACCGUGAGGGAAAGAUGAAAAGAACUUUGAAAAGAGAGUUAAAGAGUACCUGAAACUGCUGAAAGGGAACCGAAUCGUUUCCAGUGUCUAUAAUCCGUGGCAUAUUUCAUUGGCGAGUGUGCGCGUGCGUGUGCUGUGGCAGCGGCUAUUUUGGCUGCGCUCGGCGCGUGUGCUGUGUGUGCUUGCUGGUGCCCUGUGCUGCGGUGGGACGUCAAGGUCAGUUCGUAUGCUGCGGGAAAUGGCUGCCGAGGAGGUAGGGCUUACGCUCUGCGUUUGUCUAUUAUAUCUUGGUGGACGAGUCGUCGCGGUUGGGACUGAGGUGCCUACAACGUGCUUUUGAGUGGGUUUGUGUCUCCGUGUGCGCCGUGUGCGGAUAGCUUGCUAUGCGUGUGUGGUUGUGUGUGGAUUGAUGCGGGCUUUAACUUGUUGCCGUUC
rnacentral:rRNA from 5 species